rnacentral:rRNA from 1 species
GAUGAACGCUGGCGGCGUGCCUAAUACAUGCAAGUCGAGCGAACGGACGAGAAGCUUGCUUCUCUGAUGUUAGCGGCGGACGGGUGAGUCACACGUGGAUAACCUACCUAUAAGACUGGGAUAACUUCGGGAAACCGGAGCUAAUACCGGAUAAUAUUUUGAACCGCAUUGUUCAAAAGUGAAAGACGGUCUUGCUGUCACUUAUAGAUGGAUCCGCGCUGCAUUAGCUAGUUGGUAAGGUAACGGCUUACCAAGGCAACGAUGCAUAGCCGACCUGAGAGCGUGAUCGGCCACACUGGAACUGAGACACGGUCCAGACUCCGACGGGAGGCAGCAGUAGGGAAUCUUACGCAAUGGGCGAAAGCCGGACGGAGCAACGCCGCGUGAGGGAUGAAGGUCUUCGGAUCGUAAAACUCUGUUAGUAGGGAAGAACAAAUGUGUAAGUAACUGGGCAGAUCUUGACGGUACCUAAACAGAAAGCCACGGCUAACUACGUG